GGACCGGUAGUCUAGCUGGUUAGGAUGACGCUCUCACACAGCGUAAAGACAAAUGUCUCGCUAAGGUCAUGGGUUCGACUCCCAUCCGGUCCA
rfam:Thaumarchaeota archaeon 13_1_40CM_2_39_4 13_1_40cm_2_scaffold_437, whole genome shotgun sequence.